UACAGAGGGGGCAAGCGUUGCUCGGAAUUACUGGGCGUAAAGGGCGCGUAGGCGGCCUUCUAAGUCGAACGUGAAAUCCCCAGGCUCAACCUGGGAACUGCGUCUGAUACUGGAUGGCUUGAAUCCGGGAGAGGGAUGCAGAAUUCCAGGUGUAGCGGUGAAAUGCGUAGAUAUCUGGAGGAAUACCGGUGGCGAAGGCGGCAUCCUGGACCGGCAUUGACGCUGAG
rnacentral:rRNA from 1 species